CGUGAAUUUUUGUAGAAAAUAACAUUUUCAGAAAAAAUUUACGUAGUGUGCGUCUAGGUUUGUCUGUUUGUACAUAUUGUUUUUGUGUAAUUUAAGUAUAGAUUUUAUAAAAUGUUAAGGCAACAAAGUAAAAUUUGUUUGGGACAAUAACAAUCCAUCAAUUGUAAAAAUGAGCCGAAAAGAAGAACUAGCAGUACUAAAUGUUGUAAACGAGAGCAGUACAAAAGGUCUUUAAACAGGAUACAUGCAUUCCUUAUAGAGCAGAAGGACGAACAAUUUAUUACUCAAAUUAAUCUCUUGAUUUCUGUUCCCAACCAAAAUUUGAGAGGCACUGUAAGGAAUGCAUGUGGAACUAAGCAAAAUGAAGGCAUUCCGUCAACGAGGUUGCCAAAUCGGUAGUUGAUAGGAACAACAGUUUAUCAGAGGUAGAGAAGCUGUUUUAUCUGCGGUCCUACUUAAAAGGUGAGGCAUUAGCUUUGGUUGCCAACCUACCCUUAAUUGACGAAUCAUAUAAAGAGGCGCUGUUAUUGUUGGACCAGAGGUACAACAAUGAAUCUGUUUUGGUAAGUUAUCAAAUUUAUAAGAUACUUGACAUACCACCAGUAACAAAAAGUACUAGCAAUAAUUUAAGGGAGUUUGUUUCAAACAUAAAGCAACAAGUUACUGCUCUUAAAAAUCUCGGGGAACCAACAGAUAGUUGGAAUACUAUUUUAGUAUGUUUAUUAUCAAGAAAAUUAGACCCGUACACAAACAAAUGUUUUCAAUUUGAUAGGGAUAAUUCAAAGCUACCAACUCUUACUGAAUUGCUUCAAUAUAUUGAAAAUAGAGCCCUAGCGUUAGAGUCUGUGACCACGGUUGACAAUGUAAAUAGUGUAAAUAUUAAAAAUACAGUCUAUUAUUUCAAGAACCGGCCACAACAGAAUAUAUGGGAACCAAGAUGAUAAGUGUUCUACACUCAACUCUGGUAUACCUGAAAGAUCUAAUGAACAACAAGCUAAUAUGCAGUUUCUACGGAUGCAACUGCGCUCUAGGAGGCCUAUAUCAACGCAACAAGUUGAAGAAAUUGCAACGAUCGCUCUAAGGUAUAACGGAAAGUUAGAAAAUUGUCGACCUGGCUAAAGCGGAUUCCCAAGGCAGUCGUACGUAGUAGUUUUGCAAUCGGUUGCGUGUAUGCGUCGUCUAGCGCAAUUUUUCAAGUUUACAGUCAUAUUUACGUCGCUGGUCAAAAAUAAUAUGGAUGUUGUUCAUGAACAAAGGGUUAACAUUAAAUUCUUUGUUAAACUUGGGAAAAACUUGUGUGACGAGUCAUGGGUAUGAUCUAGAAACAAAACGCCAGAGUUGUGAAUGGAAAGGACCUGGAGAGCCACGACGAAAAAACGCACGAAAGGAAAAAUCAAAACGAUGAUUACCGUCUUUUUUGAUUGUCAGGGCAUUGUUCAUAUGGAAUUUUU